rnacentral:tmRNA from 1 species
GGGGCUGCAUUGGUUUCGACGUGGGUUGGAAUCGCCUCAGGGCAUGCCGAGGUUCAGUCACCUCGCUAAACCGCUGAAAAAAACUAACUGCAAACGACGAACGUUUCGCACUCGCCGCCUAAACACCGGUGAGCCUCGCAACAGCAGGCCGAUGGGCUGGGCAAGGGCGGCGCAAGCCGUCCCGGCUGCGAGGGAAUUCACAUCGGCUGGCUCGUGUCCGGGUGCCUUGGACGCGAGCGAGACUCAAGGGCACUGGCUACCGGCGUAGCGUGCGACUGCGCGACGCAGGUGGCGAGACUCAAAUCAGACCGCUAAGCAUGUAGAACUGGGCGUGGAAGAUUUGCGGACGGGGGUUCGAGUCCCCCCAGCUCCACCA